AUGCUUGUGAAGAAGUUCCAAAAAUUCACCAAGAAGAAAUGUUUCAGAAAGUAUUCACGAUCAAGCUCAAGAAAUGAUGAAGUUUCUGCUCAUGACUACAAGAAAAAAACAUGUCACAAGUGCAAGAAACCUGCUCACUUCAUCUCUGAGUGUCCGCAGUGGGACAAUGAGAACAAAAAGAAGAAGAAGAGCAAGGAAUAUGACUCUGACGACAAGAAGAAGAAGAAAUACUCAAAGUCUUCUUCCAAGUCUUCCUCAAAGUCUUCAUCACACAAGAAGAGCUCAUCUGGCAAGGCACGUGCGUUUGUUGGCAAGGAAAUGGAUUCAGAGAAGGAGUCCGCUUCUGAGGAGGCGGAGGUGGAGUCUGAGGAGGAGUCUGAUUCUGGCGUCGCAAGUCUGGCUACUGCAUACGUUGCCAAGUCCAUCUUCAACACUGAAGACAAUGACUUCAUCACCGACACCGAUGCAAAUGACAAGGACUACUCUGCUUCUACCUACUGCUUCAUGGCACGCGAUGCCAAGGUAAACACACGCACUACUCACUAUCAAACAUCUAGUGACGAUGACUCUGAUUGUGGUUCAAAACCCAGCUACAAAACACUUGCUAAAAUUGCAACUGAACAACAGAAAGCUAUGGAACAUAUUCAAAAACUGUUAGACAAAAGCGAUGAUAUGUUAGGCACUGAAAUGACUCGAUCUGAGUCCUUAAUUGAAAACAUAAAAAUCUUCACGUUAAGUAUGAGGAACUUGAAAGUCGUCAUGAAACGCUCUCAACAACUCAUGAAAAGCUUUCCUAUGAUUAUCUUCAAAGGAAGCAAGAUCUUAAGAAAUUGA
rnacentral:rRNA from 1 species